CGAAUGCUUUGUCAAUGCUUAUGAUUUUCAUAAAACUUAAUGAUCUUUGAUUGUAUUUCUAUUUUGUUGUUCAUGUGGGGGACUAUUGAAGAAUAAUUUGGUUGCCGAUGUGUUGUCCAUCCAAUUCAAUGACUUAAGGAAAAUCUGAAGGUUAAUUAGUGCUGUUCAUGGUUAAUUUGGGGUGUUGAGAUUCAUGGUUUAUUGAAAAAACAACUGGAAAUCGAUUUGUGUGCAAGUGUGUCAUGUGUGAAGAAGAACCCGCUAGCUAGCCAAUCACCCAUACUUUUUCCCCAAAUUCGUGCUAAACUUGUCUUUACUUUAAAUUCGUCAAAAACCCAAUCCCCUAAACUUUGUUGUGUCAAGUUAGUUAGAAUAUGUCCAAAUUGUGUUUUAAGUGUUUUGAGUCAAGUUAAAAUCAAUUUUCGUCCAAAUCACUCUCUAGUGUUUAGUUUGAGUCUAUUUGAUUGUUUUGUGUUAUUUUGAGUCUUUUUAGUUCGUUUUAAGUUCUUUGAGUCUAAUUAAGUGUUUUCAAGCCUAGUUUUUUGUUUUAAGUCAAUUUUAAGUAGAUUAGCAAUCUCUCCUAAUCUCCGGCCUAGAACGAUUUCUACUUACAUCUUUACUACAAUUGUCAAUAUGAGGGUUUAAUUUGUGUGUUAGUUUAUUUCACAUCAUUAAUAUGCAUUUGGCAGUGUCUAGGAAGACUAGUAGAGGUCACAAUAAUUCAGGAUUUUGUAGUCAAGUGGAUUAUCCACAAAAAUAAAUAAGAAUAAUAAUCCAACCAGAAAAUGAUCAUCAAAGUGGCACCCAAUUCCAUGACGGGACUCAAAGUUGAUAAAUUUUUCAAUAUGCUAGAAAUAUAGUUCGGUAUAUCUAGUGUAAUAAGUUGAAAACUUGAAAAAUAAAUUUUUACCUAAUUGUAAUAUUACAUUUGGUGUAUCGAAUCGUUUUUCUGGCACUAAAAAUUCUCUCCUCAAAGAUAAAUACUCACCAAAGAUGAAAUUGUUGAUGCCUUCGAAACACAAGUUGACACAUUACAAAAUAUUAUAAUAUCAUUAAAAAAAUAAAAAAAUUAUUUAUAUUAUGACACGUGAUAUACCGUCUGAGUAGGUAGAAAAAAUCUUCCAAUACUGAGAGAGUGGGCGUCAUCUUUAAUCAAUGUGGGUGUGGAUUCAAAACGCCAAAUUUGAAUUUGUCAAAAAGUGAAUAUUGUACAAUUGGAACAGAAACAUUAUAAUAGUUUAAACUGGCACAAUUACUCAAAAAGGCAAAGAAAAAUAUGUCGUUGCAGUAAUAAAGGGAGUAAGAUUCUCUCCCAUCCUAUUCUCAUCUUAUUCCCUCCUCUUCUCUCAUAUAUUGUUUUUUAUCUUAUUGUCUCUAUAAAAAAAUCAAUAUAAGGUGUUGAUAUGGCUAAACUCCUAAAUGUUCAAAUAGGAGAGGAGGGAAGGAAAGAGAGAUUAGGAGGGGAGAGAAUCCUCCUCCGUAAUGAAGACCUUCAAAUUAUUAAACCGCGUGAAGAUUUUUUUUUUAAUAAUUACUUUAUAAUAUUAAAUAAAAUUUUGUUGAUUAUUCAAGAGAUUUACAUCUAGAAGACAAAAUUUGUCGUUAGACCAUGAAUCUUGAUGCAAUUGGAGUUUUGAUACCUAAAUUUAUAUAAUUGAGUAUUGAUUUUUUAAUUUGUCAUAAUAUAGAGCAAUGAUCAUUUCGAAUGACUUCUUUUGAACUUUCCUCUCUUAUUUGUCCUUUGGUUUGUAUCAAAAACAGUUUUUAAAAUUGACCAAAUUAUUGUGAUUUGAUUAAGAGUGUUGAUAAACUCACCUCACUCUCUUAUUUCCCCACCCACCUCUUAAUAUAAAAGUUAAUACCAAUUUCACCCUCUUGUAAAAUGACAUCUAAGACCAAAGAAAAGAAAAACUCCUACUCUCUAGGUUGACAAGUUCGUUCUUCCCAAUCUUCUAAAACAACUUACCUCUCUAAAAUCUUCAAAAAAUCAAGUCCGCAGUACCUUUGGCCUUUUUAAUUUGAUAUGUUUGUUAUUGAUGUUAGUACCAGCAAACAACCUUGAAGAAUAGGAUAAAGGCUUGUCUGUACACAAUCCGCGGUGGGAGGCGCAGAUGAAGUGGAACACGGCAUUCUCGGGGCUGGUGGCAUGCUAGAGGAUGGAGAAGACUCCAUGAAUUGUGUAAGAUGUAAGUAGAAUUGUAUAUAUGCGAUCCUCGUUGUGCAUCUUGAUCAAUUGAAUCGUUUCUUUGUAGAUUUCAUUUUACUCAAUAUAAAAAUAAAAAUAAAAACAAUUUCAAUAUAAAGGUUAUUUUAGGAAUAAUAUUUGGUGGGAAAAUAAUAUUUCAAUUUUUUAAACUUUUUAUGGUGGGUGAGAUUAUAACUUGGGUGGGAAAAUAAGUAGGGCUGGUUUGAUAUGGGAUACCGAACCAAAAUCCUUGUCUCGAUUCCCAAACCAAAUUUUCGGGAAUCCCGAAAUAAUUAAUUAGAAAGCUUGUUUGCUAGACUCUAUACUAUACCCGUGGAACAAACUCUAGAUAGACUAAGUUUAUUGGACAUAAACUUCACUAUAGAACAAGAAACAAUUUGGAUAGUAGAGUUGUUUCUUACUAGGAAUAACUUGAAGGGAAAAUCCAAUAAUACUAGAAGAUAAAAACUCAUAGAAGACAGAAAUGGCAUAUGAAUUAAGACUAGAGACCGAUAAUAUGAGGCAUAAAAUGGCUUAAAAAUCCAGGACGAUAAAUAACAGCUACAAGAUCAACUCAUAGAAAUUAGACUAUUAUAGCUCCCAAAGCUCCUUUCUGUUGCAUCUUCAAAGAUUCAUUUCCCCCCAUUGACCAAAAAAAUAGCUUUCACACUGGAACUUAAAGACCUGCUCUAUAAUUUGAACAAAAUCCUAAAUUAUACGAGUCUACUUUAGGAAUAUAAUAUUGACAUUGAAAUUAACUUGUUUCAUGCCAAUUUAAGACUCGCCUUCAAAAUUGAACACCACCCUAAUCUCUUCAAUCACUAAAACAACCUAUAUACAUGAUAGAGACUCGAGACUUACAUUGAAUUUCGGCAAAACCCCAAAUUGAACAAGUCUGAUCAGUCACAAAAACAUCCUAAUUUUAUAAAUUUUUAUUUUGGGAACAUAAUGAAGAAUUGAAAUUAACUUGAUUCAUGCUGAUUUUUAUACUAUUUUCAAUUUUCUAAAAUGUGGAUAGAAUGCAUGCAAAGUUUCAAAGCUUCAAUUAUUCUGCAAUUCAUCUUGGUUCCUAUUUAAUCUACAUCCCACAUAUACCAUUCUCUAAAUUCCCUAGGUACUUGUCUAGACAUUGAUGAAUGAGAAUCCAAAAUUUCCAAUAAUACUCAAAUGAUCAAUUAGAAAAUUACAUACUUUGAAUUCCUUAGCGGCAAAUUUCAGCACGACAGCGAUAAAGACAGUUCCAAAACAAGUUAUUCUCCAGCAAGGUGAGGUGAUGUGAGGUCAACAGAGUGACUGAAUGACUGAGUGAGGGUG
rnacentral:lncRNA from 1 species